GUGUCAGCCGCCGCGGUAAUACGAAGGGGGCUAGCGUUGCUCGGAAUGACUGGGCGUAAAGGGCGCGUAGGCGGACGGCACAGUCAGGCGUGAAAUUCCUGGGCUCAACCUGGGGACUGCGUCUGAGACGUGUUGUCUUGAGUAUGGAAGAGGGUUGUGGAAUUUCCAGUGUAGAGGUGAAAUUCGUAGAUAUUGGAAAGAACACCGGUGGCGAAGGCGGCAACCUGGUCCAUUACUGACGCUGAGGCGCGAAAGCGUGGGGAGCAAACAGGAUUAGAUACCCGCGUAGUCC
rnacentral:rRNA from 1 species